AGUUAGCUGGGACACCCUGUAUUCAGAAAUGAAACAGGAGAGCUAGGAUAUGAUUUCUUUCUAACUUAGUUUUUUUUUUGUAACUGUGUGUUUCAGAAGAAUAAUGACAGUUUGGUUAUUUCCCAUACGACAGAAAACCCCGCUAUCGUGACGGACAAAGGUCACCGAGUAUCAGCCUCUCUGAAAGUGGCCAUGUGUGACACGAUUCUCGUAAUCUGUAGAAGCCCAUAGAUUUUCACAAUGCCGCUGCACCUCGGGACACACGAUUGACACGAAGAACAGAAAGUGUUCAUAACGAGCAAAGAAGGGUUCGCAACGUGUGUAUGAUAACCGAUAAGCGGGUCCAUUUCUACUGGCCGAUGAAACUGCGCAUACUGUGUAUAAAUACCACCUAAUGCGCUAUGCUGAUGAAUCGACACGGCGAAGCCGGCAGUAACCAUGAGAGCCUCCCUCCUCGUGUCCAUUCUCGUCGUCGUCAUCGGAUGCGCAGUUGCCCAGCGAGGAUGGCAAAUACGGCCGCUUCGCUGUGGUCCUGGAGAAAUUUGGAAGGUCUGCGAAAGCAGCUCCUGCGGUGAAGAAAAGUGCGAUGUACGAGGUCCUAGGCCCUGCACAGCUGAUUGCCAGACCAGAUGCUUCUGCAAGAGUGGCUACUACCGGCGACGUGCCGACAACAAAUGUGUCCGGCUUAGCCAAUGCUAGGCCUCUUCGUGAGAGCGACGGUACUACUCUGCCAACUUACGAGAAUUAUUAAAUGAGAGCGAUGAAUAAAACUUCCAAUGUUGAAACAGUG
rnacentral:lncRNA from 1 species